UCGCUCUAGUACCACUUCCGUAGGUGAUCACGGUUGCAUUUAGCACAUGCAACAAGCCCUUUAAACCCCUAGAUAGCUCUAGUGGACGAGUGUGUUCUCGUGAGGGUUUGUAGAAGAUGUACCCACAAAAUCCCAAGUCGUGAUGAAUCCACAAUUCUCUAUUCUUGCAAAUAAUGCACCAAAAACAACCUAAAAUGAUAGAAAAUCACUUCAUCACCUCAACUCGUGACCUGCACAGAAAAACACUAAAAACACAUCAAAAGACACUAAACACUUAAGUACAACCAACCAAUUUAAGUGGAAAUGAAGGCCUAUAAGUGUGUAUAAAUACCACUUAUCACACCCCCAAACUUAAACUGAUGCUUGUCCUCAAGCGUCAACGACACUAUACAAUAAUACAAUGCAAUGCAUGAAUGCAACUACGUGAUGAAUGAGUAAACUAUGAAGUAAUUGCCUUGCCAAUUAUAAUACCUCAGAUUGUGCUAAUGUUCUCGAAUUUCACUUCUCUCGCUACUAAGUCAAUUACUCUUCUAUUUACAAGUGUGGAGUGUCCGUGUGUGCAAGCAUGCUCUUUUAUUGAGACAAGACAAAAACUACUACUCCCACAGAAUCCCAAUCAAGAAUCGUAAAAGUUUAAAACUAACACCCCGUCACUCAAGUCCAACUAAAAGCCAAGGUCCCAAAGAAUGUCCACACCCUUCUAUUUUAUUCACUAUUUUUUUUUUCUUUUUUUUUU
rnacentral:lncRNA from 1 species